ACCACCUACUUUGUUCUACUCGUGCCUUAGCACUCCCCCUGUGCCCUGUACUUCCAGAAGUUUAGCCCUUUGUUAGGGCAUCUAGUCUAUAACAUGGCAAGCUACUGUCUAUAACUGAUUUUAGUUAUAUUCUGCUGGAUUUGUACCUCACUCUACUAUAGCACGCUUUAAAAAUGCACAGGGGAAUUGUAGGCAGAGAGGGCACAAAGUACAGCAAAAGAAAAGUACACAGCAAGUUGUGUGUCUGGGAGGGUCAGGAAGGAGUCACACACGGUGACACCACAUCCAAGGGCAAAAUUACUUUCUUUAUUGAACAUAUUUUUUAAUCCCGCCUCUCUCCUUCAAAAGGACCCAAGUUAUGAUCGUUCUUGAUACAAAGCCUCCGGAACUACUGAGUACAGUACUGUGCGCCAGUUAUCCGCCCGAUGCCCUUAUUAGGAGGAAAGGCCCUAAACCUCCCCUUCGAUGAGGAAAUCAGAUCAUAAAUAUCCUCCCCGCCACCCACCCGCACCCAGAGGUGGUUUAAGCGUGCAAGAGGCGGCCUGAGGCGUCCUCCCGGGAGCUGCCUCAGGACCCAGCCUCUCUCUCCAAAAAGCCGCUCCCUUCGACCGUCUCGGCACCUGCUCGAACUUGAGCGGCUCUUUGCUUUAUGAACAGCGAGGGCUCCUCCGUCGUCUCCGGACAGCCCCGAACGAGGAGAGUCGUGGGGAAGGUUUGAGAGAGAGAAAGAAAAGAGUUCACAGGACCAGCGAAACCGCGCCUUUGGAGGAAGAGGCGGCAGCAGCAGCCGCCAUCGCGCGGAUUUUCACUUUCGCUACUUCGAGCGGCCGGGACGCCGGGACGACGCGACGGCCAUGUGGGGACUGUUCUGGGCUCUGCUCCUGCUUCUUCGGUUGGAGCUUCCGCUCGGGGCCUCGCCAGAAGAACAGUGUCAUCAGAAUACCAUCGGUGGCAUUGAAGGAAAAGAUAUUGCUUUACACCCAAAUGUUAGUGGCUCGCCAGCAGAGAUUACCUGGAUGAAAGACAGAAAUAUAGUGGCUACGUCAAUUGAUGGUUUUCCAACAAAGAACAAUUUAGAGCUUAUCGUUAAUAAUGGUAGUUUGAUUCUCCACAACCUGUCACUGAAAGAUGUUGGAUGUUACAAAGCUGAAAUUGAAGUUAAAGAUGAAGUAACAGAAACAUUUUUUGGUUUGAAAGUAUUAGUACCACCUAGUUUAACCUGCUCUACCAAUGAUAGCAUCCAAAUAAGCUGCAAUCUGCCCACCAACAUGCUGGAUCUGUCACCAUCAUAUGAGUGGAAAGGCUUUGAAAAAGAUGAAAUUAUUCAUUCUAAUUGGUCUUUUGUGCAACUUCACAAAAACAUAGACCCUUCUAAGAAAAUCACGUGCAUCAUUACUGCUUUCAAUGUAAAUGUGAGCAACUCCAUCAAUUUGAAUGAAUGUAUCCGGAAAGGUAAGUUUUUGUGUCUUUUAUGUGGUGGUUCUUCAGGUUGCAGACUGAACUAAGAUGAGUGACACCAUAACAAGGGAGAGUUGUAGUAGAAAGAUGAUGAGCAACUCCAUCAAUUUGAAUGAAUGUAUCCGGAAAGGUAAGUUUUUGUGUCUUUUAUGUGGUGGUUCUUCAGGUUGCAGACUGAACUAAGAUGAGUGACAAGGGAGAGUUGCAGUAGAAAGAUGAGGAAAGAAUCUCCUAGUUUUAAGUGUUACGAUUUCUUUCUGAAGUUGUUGGGAAUAGCGUUGGGGCUGUGUGAGUUUGAGAACUCUGUCUCGCUUUGCCAUCAGAGAACUACAGGUACUGACUGCCAAAUGUAGUCUAGCACAGUGGUCCCCAACCUUGGGCCUCCAGAUUUUCUGAAGUUGUUGGGAAUAGCGUUGGGGCUGUGUGAGUUUGAGAACUCUGUCUCGCUUUGCCAUCAGAGAACUACAGGUACUGACUGCCAAAUGUAGUCUAGCAGUCACUGUAAUAUAGGUAUAUCCUGAAAAAGACAGCAGAAGCAGCAGGAAAACAACCAUUGUGGGUGAGAGAAGGAGAAAUAAGAAUGUAUGAAUUGACCUGAAUGUAAUUGCCAAUUCACAUUUGUCUGUACCAAGUGGUAUAAAUUGCAGAGGCAACGUGCUGCUAAUUAACAAGGAGCUUUUUGUGUUCCUGCAUGUGUGGUCAGUCACAUGAUCAGACAUAUUCAGUGCCUUGUUAAUUAGUAGUAAUUUGUUAUGGCAGCUCAAAUGUGAUUUACACAAGCAUACACUGGCAUUGGAUUCUAGCCAGUAUGACCUGUGAUGCAGUUUGGGAUUAAAGUUGGGUUCUGGGGCUAAAAAAUUCAGAGAUUUAGGCUUCUUCCAGACAGGACAUUGUUCUUCAUAAUGCAUCUGAUUCUGCACUGAUGUUUUCUGUAUUUUCCCCACAAUCUUUGUGAUCUCCCCUCUUGUCUAAGAUAAAUGCAGUGACAAUUUCCAUGAGUUUCCAUGCUUUUUUCCCCUCCUGAAGGUAUACAGUGGUACCUCGCAAGACUAUUACCCCGCAAAACUUUUUUUUGCUAGACCGCUAGACGUUGACUUUUUACAAUCGCAAUAGCGAUUCGCAAAACGGUUUUUCCUAUGGGGGAUUUUGCUGGACAAUGAUUUGGUCCAUGCUCUGCAGACCGUUUUUUCACAAGACGAUGAUUUUUACAGCUGAUUGGCGGCUUCGCAAAAUGGCUUCCCUAUGGGCGAUCUUCGCAAAACAGGUGUUUUAUGGACUAAUGCUUCGCAAGACAGCGAUUUAAACAGCUGAUCGGCGCUUCGCAAAAUGGCUUCCCUACAGGCGAUUUUCGCUGGACAAUGACUAUUUCCCCCCAUUGGAACACAUCAAACGGGUUUCAAUGCAUUCCAAUGGGGAAAUGCUUUUCGCUAGACGAUGUUUUCACAAGACAGCGAUUUCAAUGGAAUGGAUUAACAUCGUCUAGCGAGGCACCACUGUAUUUAUUUUCAGUCAUACUUUGUUAUUGGAGGGGACAAAUUUAGUGCUGUGACUCUUUCCAUUGGACAUGGAUUUCUGCAGUUAGAGCCUCUUUGUUGGAAGCUUUCCGUUAGCUAGAGAUGCUCCAGGAGGGAAGGAUUUUUACAUUUUUUUAAAAAAAGAUGUCAAGGUCCCCUGAGGAAGCAGUUUUGAGAGAGGCUUCUUUUUAAAACUACAGUGUGGCCCUGAAUAAUGAUAUGCCCUACACGCCUUUAUGACCAAGUAGCAGAAAGAGGGUGGGGUGUUUUCCCUGUCUGGAACAGCCUUUACUCUUUUGUCAAGCUGAUAAAAAGAGUUUCGUGAAGAACUCGGGCCAAUUUUACUUUCAAGUUUUUAGUUUUAUGUUCUUUUUUCCCUGUGGAUAGUAAAACACAAAUGCCUAAUCACACUCUUCUUAAUUUUUGAUUACUUAUUCUGUUUCAUUUUGUUGGCUAAUGUUUUCAUUUUUUUAAACAACCAGAUCAUCAGAUUGGAGGUAGAAGUAGAAUUCAGAUUCUCUUGGCUGUAAUCAUUGUAGCGCUGGUGGUAAUAGGAAGUUACAUUUACCUAAUAAAAGGUAUGUCUGUCUUUUCUGCCUUAAUGAA
ensembl:lncRNA uncharacterized LOC110076964